rnacentral:rRNA from 1 species
UACGUAGGAUGCAAGCGUUGUCCGGAAUUAUUGGGCGUAAAGAGCGCGCAGGCGGUCUAUCAAGUCAGAUGUGAAAUAUCCCGGCUUAACCGGGAGGGGUCAUUUGAAACUGGUAGACUAGAGUACAGCAGAGGAUAGUGGAAUUCCCGGUGUAGCGGUGGAAUGCGCAGAUAUCAGGAGGAACACCGAUGGCGAAGGCAGAUCUCUGGGCCGUAACUGACGCUGAGGAGCGAAAGCAUGGGGAGCGAACAGG